UGGUGGUUUGGUGGUGGUUUGUUUUGUUGGAGAGCAAGCGUAGAUUGGAGUUUACAGAGGCUAGAGGAGGAUUUUGUUUUUACAUUUGAUUAAAUUGGAUGUCUCAUCUCAGACAGUGAGUCUGUCCUGUCCGCCAGGCCCGGUGUUGUUGGCUGGGAGGAACUGGAGGGAGAAAAUCCAGAGAGAGGGGUCUGGGAUUAGGAGUGGGCCAAGAAGGAAAAUACGAACAGAAAAGUGAGGAGGGGAAAAGGGGAGAAGGCCUUGGCCAAGAAUCUUACAGCAGUCCAGGUGAGGGGCCUUACCCAGGAGGUCCUGGCCAGUUUGAAGAGCUCCAGCUUGGCCAGGGUGAGCCACACGCAGUCAGAGUCCUCCCCAUUCCGCUGCAGAAGUCUGGAGCCACAGCAGAUCAGGAGUACUCCAAGACCAUGACCCAGUUCUUCCCCCAGCUCUUCUUGGCCUUCAUCACUCAGGUUCACUAUGUGCUGGAGCUGGGCCUGCGGGAGGACCAGAAGCAGGAGGCCAGAAAGCCCAUCGUGCCCUCCAACCUCGGCCCCUGGAGGUGAGCGGAGCAGGGA